rnacentral:rRNA from 1 species
UACGUAGGGUGCGAGCGUUAAUCGGAAUUACUGGGCGUAAAGCGUGCGUAGGCGGUUUGCCGUGUCCUGUGUGGAAGCCCCGGGCUCAACCCGGGAACUGCGUCCGAGACUGAAAGGCUUGAAUCCGGGAGAGGGAUGUGGAAUUCCAGGUGUAGCGGUGAAAUGCGUAGAUAUCUGGAGGAACAUCGGUGGCGAAGGCGGCAUCCUGGACCGGUAUUGACGCUGAGGUGCGAAAGCCAGGGGAGCAAACGGG